AACCUUGCGAAAACGCACGCAUGAGCGCAUAUUAGGGCUGCCGGUUCGUCCGGCUAUGGUGAUAAACGCUUUUCGGAAUAAGCGUUGCGGACCCGGGGGCAGUGCCCGGCACCUCCACCAGGUUUUCCUGUCCCGAUACGGGGCAAGCUGAUGGGGGUGAAACAGGAUCGACGCGCGUGGUAAAGGACUAGUUUUCACUCGGCAUGGUUCCGCCGUUACCGGGCCAUUUUCACAAGUGCCAACGACAAUGACGCACUUGCGGUUGCGGCCUAAUACGCCAUAACAACCACGGGGUUCGAGGGGCACCUGGCAACAGAAGCCCCUCACU
rnacentral:tmRNA from 1 species